rnacentral:rRNA from 1 species
GGACGAACGCUGGCGGCGUGCCUAAUACAUGCAAGUCGAACGAGAGCAACCGGUGCUUGCACUGGUCAAUCUAGUGGCGAACGGGUGAGUAACACGUGGGUAACCUGCCCAUCAGAGGGGGAUAACAUCCGGAAACGGAUGCUAAAACCGCAUAGGUCUUCGAACCGCAUGGUUUGAAGAGGAAAAGAGGCGCAAGCUUCUGCUGAUGGAUGGACCCGCGGUGCAUUAGCUAGUUGGUGAGGUAACGGCUCACCAAGGCCGUGAUGCAUAGCCGACCUGAGAGGGUGAUCGGCCACAUUGGGACUGAGACACGGCCCAAACUCCUACGGGAGGCAGCAGUAGGGAAUCUUCCGCAAUGGACGCAAGUCUGACGGAGCAACGCCGCGUGAGUGAAGAAGGUUUUCGGAUCGUAAAACUCUGUUGUUAGAGAAGAACAAGUGCUAGAGUAACUGUUAGCGCCUUGACGGUAUCUAACCAGAAAGCCACGGCUAACUACGUG